AAAGAUUAAGCCAUGCAUGUCUAAGUAUAAGCACUUUAUACUGUGAAACUGCGAAUGGCUCAUUAAAUCAGUUAUCGUUUAUUUGAUAGUACCUUACUACAUGGAUACCUGUGGUAAUUCUAGAGCUAAUACAUGCUAAAAACCUCGACUUCGGAAGGGGUGUAUUUAUUAGAUAAAAAACCAACGCCCUUCGGGGCUCCUUGGUGAAUCAUAAUAACUAAGCGAAUCGCAUGGCCUUGCGCCGGCGAUGGUUCAUUCAAAUUUCUGCCCUAUCAACUUUCGAUGGUAGGAUAGUGGCCUACCAUGGUGGCAACGGGUAACGGGGAAU
rnacentral:rRNA from 1 species